CCUACGGGGGGCAGCAGUAGGGAAUCUUCCACAAUGGGCGCAAGCCUGAUGGAGCAACACCGCGUGAGUGAAGAAGGGUUUCGGCUCGUAAAGCUCUGUUGGUGGAGAGGAAGGUGCGUGAGAGUAACUGUUAACGCAGUGACGGUAUCCACCGAGAAAGUCACGGCUAACUACGUGCCAGCAGCCGCGGUAAUACGUAGGUGGCAAGCGUUAUACGGAUUUAUGGGGCGUAAAGGGAGCGCAGGCGGUUGCUUAGGUCUGAUGUGAAAGCCGUGGGCUUAACCGAAGAAGUGCAUCUGAAACUGGGCGACUUGAGUGCAGAAGAGGACAGUGGAACUCCAUGUGUAGCGGUGGAAUGCGUAGAUAUAUGGAAGAACACCAGUGGCGAAGGCGGCUGCUUGGUC
rnacentral:rRNA from 1 species